UCCAGACUCCUACGGGAGGCAGCAGUGAGGAAUAUUGGUCAAUGGGCGGGAGCCUGAACCAGCCAAGCCGCGUGAGGGAAGAAGGUACAGCGUAUCGUAAACCUCUUUUGUCAGGGAACAAAGGCGGGGACUAGUCCCCGGAUGAGGGUACCUGAAGAAAAAGCAUCGGCUAACUCCGUGCCAGCAGCCGCGGUAAUACGGAGGAUGCGAGCGUUAUCCGGAUUUAUUGGGUUUAAAGGGUGCGUAGGCGGUAUUUUAAGUUAGUGGUAAAACGUCGGGGCUUCACCUUGAUUGGCCAUUAAAACUGGAGUACUAGAGUACAGACGAGGUAGGCGGAAUAAGUUAAGUAGCGGUGAAAUGCUUAGAUAUAACUUAGAACCCCGAUAGCGAAGGCAGCUUACCAGACUGUUACUGACGCUGAAGCACGAGAGCGUGGGUAGCGAACAGGAUUAGAUACCCUAGUAA
rnacentral:rRNA from 1 species